ACGGUCUACCACAACCAUGA
rnacentral:snRNA from 1 species